ACACGCACCGGGGGUAAGACAGUACUCCAGCUGGAGGGAUGAGCUGUCCGCCUCGCUGCCGCUGGUGCUGGAGAUCGUGUGAUUUAGCAGGUUGUCUCCAUCACCCUCCAGUCGGUCCUCACUAUGUGUACUGGUAAGGGUACUGGUUGAGUUUCCUCUGGCUGAGGGGGUACGGCUGCCCGGGGAGCUGCUGCUGUUGGCAGUGCGAGGCGGCCGAUUGG